GGAUGUGGGAUUGCACAGACAACCAGGAUGUUGGCUUAGAAGCAGCCACUCAUUCAAAGAGUGCGUAAUAGCUCACUGGUCGAGUGAUCCUGCGCCGAAGAUUUCCGGGGCUAAAACUUACUACCGAAGCUACGGCAUCAGUAAUGAUGGGUAGGGGAGCUUCCCAUACAGGUUGAAGCAUGACCGUAAGGACAUGUGGACAGUAUGGGAGUGAGAAUGUUGGCAUGAGUAGCGAGAUGUGGGUGAGAAUCCCACAGGCCGUAAACCCAAGGUUUCCAGGGGAAGGUUCGUCCGCCC
rnacentral:rRNA from 1 species